AUAAGCAUCGGCUAACUCCGUGCAAGCAGCCGCGGUAAUACGGAGGAUGCGAGCGUUAUCCGGAUUUAUUGGGUUUAAAGGGUGCGUAGGCGGAUUCUUAAGUCAGCGGUAAAAUGUCCGGGCUCAACCCGGGCCGGCCGUUGAAACUGGGGGUCUUGAGUGGGCGAGAAGUAUGCGGAAUGCGUGGUGUAGCGGUGAAAUGCAUAGAUAUCACGAAGAACUCCGAUUGCGAAGGCAGCUCACUAGACUGCAACUGACACUGAUGCUCGAAAGUGUGGGUAUCAAACAGG
rnacentral:rRNA from 1 species